CACGGGGGGAGCAAGCGUUGUUCGGAAUUACUGGGCGUAAAGGGCUCGUAGGCGGCCAACUAAGUCAGACGUGAAAUCCCUCGGCUUAACCGGGGAACUGCGUCUGAUACUGGAUGGCUGGAGUUUGGGAGAGGGAUGCGGAAUUCCAGGUGUAGCGGUGAAAUGCGUAGAUAUCUGGAGGAACACCGGUGGCGAAGGCGGCAUCCUGGACCAAUACUGACGCUGAGGAGCGAAAGCCAGGGGAGCAAACGGG
rnacentral:rRNA from 1 species